GGGCUUGACAUCCCACGAACCUGCCCGAAAGGGUCGGGUGCCCGCAAGGGAGCGUGGAGACAGGUGGUGCAUGGCUGUCGUCAGCUCGUGUCGUGAGAUGUUGGGUUAAGUCCCGCAACGAGCGCAACCCUCACCCCUUGUUGCCACCGGGUCAUGCCGAGCACUCUAGGGGAACUGCCAGCGUCAAGCUGGAGGAAGGUGGGGAUGACGUCAAGUCAUCAUGCCCCUUACGCCCUGGGCAACACACGUGCUACAAUGGCUGGUACAAAGGGACGCAAGACCGCGAGGUGGAGCUAAUCCCAAAAAACCAGUCUAAGUUCAGAUUGCAGUCUGCAACUCGACUGCAUGAAGGAGGAAUCGCUAGUAAUCGCGCAUCAGCACGGCGCGGUGAAUACGUUCCCGGGCCUUGUACACACCGCCCGUCACACCACGAAAGCCGGCUGUACUCGAAGUCGCUGAG
rnacentral:rRNA from 1 species